rnacentral:rRNA from 1 species
CGCAAGCCUGACGGAGCCAGACCGCGUGGGGGAGGAAGGCCCUUGGGUUGUAAACCACUUUUCUCAGGGAAGAAGAACUGACGGUACCUGAGGAAAAAGCCUCGGCUAACUCCGUACCAGCAGCCGCGGUAAUACGGAGGAGGCAAGCGUUAUCCGGAAUUACUGGGCGUAAAGCGUUCGUAGGGGGCUCGUCAAGUCUGCUGUCAAAGGUCGGAGCUUAACUCCGGUUCGGCAGUGGAAACUGGUGCGCUAGAGGGCGACAGGGGUAGAGGGAAUUCCCGGUGUAGCGGUGAAAUGCGUAGAUAUCGGGAAGAACACCAGAGGCGAAAGCGUUCUGCUGGGCCGCACCUGACCCUGAGGGACGAAAGCCAGGGGAGCG